AUUGAACGCUGGCGGCAUGCCUUACACAUGCAAGUCGAACGGCAGCAUCGGGAGCUUGCUCUCUGAUGGCGGGUGGCGAACGGGAGCGUCACUCAUCGUCACGUACAGUGUAGUGGGGGGUAACUUAUAGCAAGUUACGCUAAUACCGCAUACGCACUGAGGUGGAAAAUAGGCGAUCGUUAGACUAGGUGCUUUAUAAGCGACAGAUGUAAGAUUGGCUAGUUGGUGGGGUAGUGGCCUACCAAGGCGACGAACGUUAGCGCCUCUGAGAGGCUGAUCCGACACCCUGGGAGUGAGAAACGGCCGAGACUCCGACGGGGGGCAGCAGUGGGGAAUUUUAGGCAAUGGGGGAAACCCGGAUACAGCCAUGCGGGGGGAGUGAAGAAGGACUUCGGGUGGUAAAGCUCUGUAGGCCGGGAAGAAAUAGAACAGGCUAAUCCCCUGUGUGGAUGACGGUACCGGCAGAAGAAGCACCGGCUAACUACGUG
rnacentral:rRNA from 1 species